GUAGGCCGAAUACGUCACGGUCCGGGCAAAACCCGGUGAAAAGGGAACGUGGUGAAAACCCACGACUGCCCCCGCAACUGUAAGCGGCGAGCGUGUUCGGCAUAUGCCACUGGGAUCUCCCGGGAAGGCCCGAACCACGCGCAGACCCGCAAGUCAGGAGACCUGCCGCGACAGAUCACCCUAC
rnacentral:ncRNA from 1 species